UUAAAUUGAAGAGUUUGAUCAUGGCUCAGAUUGAACGCUGGCGGCAGGCCUAACACAUGCAAGUCGAACGGUAGCACAGAGAGCUUGCUCUCGGGUGACGAGUGGCGGACGGGUGAGUAAUGUCUGGGAAACUGCCUGAUGGAGGGGGAUAACUACUGGAAACGGUAGCUAAUACCGCAUAACGUCGCAAGACCAAAGAGGGG
rnacentral:rRNA from 1 species